AUGUCACGCCACAGCACACUGCCCAGGGCGCCAGUGCUUGGCUCUGGGACAGACCCAGGGAGCCGCAGCUCGCAGCUGCUGCUGGCGCAGGGAGACGUGCAGGGCCCAGGCUCUCCCUGUACCUGCAGCCUGACUUCUUGCUGUCUCCCGUCCUCUGCUCCGGUGGGAUUUUGUUUUCAUUCCUCUCCGUCUCCGUUUCCCACCGUGCUCUGGCACAGACAGAAGCAGAGAAGCCCUGUAACUCGAAUCACAAUCACCUUGACAUUUUGUUCCAGAAUUAGAAUGUUCCCGAGGCUUCUGCCGGAGAGAAAGACAACCCCCUGGGAUGUGCUUUGCCAGGUGGCCUCGGCUGCGCCCAGGGACCUGUUCCAUUUGGGGCUAGAGAUGGAUUCCGCAAGUGCCUACUGCGUCCCAGGCUUGGGGUUAGGUUCCGAGCAGAGGAAUGAAGGCAGGCAGGGGAGACGUGUUAAUAGAUUCCUGGUUCUUUGUAAAGAAUGCACUUCCUGGGAUUGGUUGGAGCUAUGUCCUGUACAUCUGGGCAGAUGGCAAUGAAUGAAACAACUCUUUCCUAGCUGAGAAGUACUGGUGCUCUCGGAGGUUUAACAAACUGUUUGAGAACUCUGUAGCCGCGACACCACGUGUACCAGGAGAGGAAUCUGGAGAACGCGUCGACCUCUUGCUCCUGGUCUCAGAGCCGAAUCUGAUGCGCUCUUGUGUGUUUUUCUGUAACCAGACACUGUUGUGAUUAACCCUGUAAUUUUUUCAACUUCAUCUGAACUUUUUAAUAAACCUAUUCAUUAUUUUCUCA
rnacentral:lncRNA from 1 species